rnacentral:rRNA from 1 species
GAUGAACGCUGGCGGCGUGCCUAAUACAUGCAAGUCGAGCGAACAGACGAGGAGCUUGCUCCUCUGACGUUAGCGGCGGACGGGUGAGUAACACGUGGAUAACCUACCUAUAAGACUGGGAUAACUUCGGGAAACCGGAGCUAAUACCGGAGAAUAUAUUGAACCGCAUGGUGCAAUAGUGAAAGACGGUUGUGCUGUCACUUAUAGAUGGAUCCGCGCCGCAUUAGCUAGUUGGGAGGGUAACGGCUUACCAAGGGAACGAUGCGUAGCCGACCUGAGGGGGGGAUCGCCCACCCUGGAACUGAGACACGGUCCAGACUCCUACGGGAGGCAGCAGUCGGGAAUCUUCCGCAAUGGGCGAAAGCCUGACGGAGCAACGCCGCGUGAGUGAUGAAGGUCUUCCGAUCGUAAAACUCUGUUAUUAGGGAAGAACAACUGUGUAAUUAACUAUGCACGUCUUGACGGUACCUAAUCAGAAAGCCACGGCUAACUACGUG